rnacentral:rRNA from 1 species
CCUGGCUCAGGAUGAACGCUAGCUACAGGCUUAACACAUGCAAGUCGAGGGGCAGCAUGGUCUUAGCUUGCUAAGGCCGAUGGCGACCGGCGCACGGGUGAGUAACACGUAUCCAACCUGCCGUCUACUCUUGGACAGCCUUCUGAAAGGAAGAUUAAUACAAGAUGGCAUCAUGAGUCCGCAUGUUCACAUGAUUAAAGGUAUUCCGGUAGACGAUGGGGAUGCGUUCCAUUAGAUAGUAGGCGGGGUAACGGCCCACCUAGUCUUCGAUGGAUAGGGGUUCUGAGAGGAAGGUCCCCCACAUUGGAACUGAGACACGGUCCAAACUCCUACGGGAGGCAGCAGUGAGGAAUAUUGGUCAAUGGGCGAGAGCCUGAACCAGCCAAGUAGCGUGAAGGAUGACUGCCCUAUGGGUUGUAAACUUCUUUUAUAAAGGAAUAAAGUCGGGUAUGGAUACCCGUUUGCAUGUACUUUGUGAAUAAGGAUCGGCUAACUCCGUGCCAGCAGCCGCGGUAAUACGGAGGAUCCGAGCGUUAUCCGGAUUUAUUGGGUUUAAAGGGAGCGUAGAUGGAUGUUUAAGUCAGUUGUGAAAGUUUGCGGCUCAACCGUAAAAUUGCAGUUGAUACUGGAUAUCUUGAGUGCAGUUGAGGCAGGCGGAAUUCGUGGUGUAGCGGUGAAAUGCUUAGAUAUCACGAAGAACUCCGAUUGCGAAGGCAGCCUGCUAAGCUGCAACUGACAUUGAGGCUCGAAAGUGUGGGUAUCAAACAGGAUUAGAUACCCUGGUAGUCCACACGGUAAACGAUGAAUACUCGCUGUUUGCGAUAUACUGCAAGCGGCCAAGCGAAAGCGUUAAGUAUUCCACCUGGGGAGUACGCCGGCAACGGUGAAACUCAAAGGAAUUGACGGGGGCCCGCACAAGCGGAGGAACAUGUGGUUUAAUUCGAUGAUACGCGAGGAACCUUACCCGGGCUUAAAUUGCAGAUGAAUUACGGUGAAAGCCGUAAGCCGCAAGGCAUCUGUGAAGGUGCUGCAUGGUUGUCGUCAGCUCGUGCCGUGAGGUGUCGGCUUAAGUGCCAUAACGAGCGCAACCCUUGUUGUCAGUUACUAACAGGUUCCGCUGAGGACUCUGACAAGACUGCCAUCGUAAGAUGUGAGGAAGGUGGGGAUGACGUCAAAUCAGCACGGCCCUUACGUCCGGGGCUACACACGUGUUACAAUGGGGGGUACAGAGGGCCGCUACCACGCGAGUGGAUGCCAAUCCCCAAAACCUCUCUCAGUUCGGACUGGAGUCUGCAACCCGACUCCACGAAGCUGGAUUCGCUAGUAAUCGCGCAUCAGCCACGGCGCGGUGAAUACGUUCCCGGGCCUUGUACACACCGCCC